UGUUGAUUCAGCAGAUUCAAGGUAUGCACUAGGCCAACUACUAUUUACAUUUCUAUGACUUCUUGCAUUGAUCUUACCGUUUUUUCAUGUUUGCUUUCUGUCUGUAGCGGUGGAUUAACCUGUCCUGCAUCUGAGUUUAUUGAAGAGACAUUUCUUCUUUCAGUUAAGCGUGCUCUCCCUCAGCAUGGUCUUUUUGUAGUGAACUUAGUCUCAAGGUCACAAUCCGUCAAAGAUAUGGUUGCAUCAAGAAUGAAAAAGGUAAAAACCAAGUGUGAUUCGAUCCUUGUGAAUCUGCUGCUACACUAGUAGUUGGUUUUGAGUCGGAAUUUGUAACUGGUGUCUUUUGUUUUGCUGUGUUUACAAGGUUUUCGAUCGCUUGUUCAGCCUGCAACUAGAAGAGGAAGAUGAUGUAAACGUGGUGCUGUUUGGGCUCUGCUCAGAAUCUGUAAUCGGUGAGAGCGAUAUUCCAGAGUCUGCAGUUAUACUUGAGGAACUGCUCAAGUGUCAGAGAUUGGAAACGAAGCAAAGCAUCAUCGACUCUACAAACAAGUUGAAAUGCUGGAAAUGAAUCAACAGCAUUUCAACCUGUUUGAAAACUAGCUUUGUCUUUAGCUGUUUUAAAAAAGGAUUAUUUCGUGUUUUGACAUGUUUAUACGUGCUGUUUGAAAUUUUUUUAAGCUUACUGAAGAUUAUAGGUUGAGCUUGACCCGGUAAUGCUUGACGUUGGCAAGGAUUACUUUGGUUUCACACAAACUGAUCGCUUGAAGGUAAACCCCUUCUUUUUUAAUACAAAGUUCCUAUCCUUUUUUAUGUUUAUAUUCAAUUUAUCAUCACUCAGCCUUUUAUAAUAGGUGCAUAUUGCUGAUGGAAUCAAAUACAUUAGAGACGUAACAAACUCUGAAUCUUCUUCCGAGAAAGCGUCGGACGCUGUCUCUAAAACAGAGUCGACUAGUUCCAACAAUGCGGAAGGCAGCACUUGUCCUGACAUCUUGAUUAUAGAUGUUGAUUCAGCAGAUUCAAGGUAUGCACUAGGCCAACUACUAUUUACAUUUCUAUGACUUCUUGCAUUGAUCUUACCGUUUUUUCAUGUUUGCUUUCUGUCUGUAGCGGUGGAUUAACCUGUCCUGCAUCUGAGUUUAUUGAAGAGACAUUUCUUCUUUCAGUUAAGCGUGCUCUCCCUCAGCAUGGUCUUUUUGUAGUGAACUUAGUCUCAAGGUCACAAUCCGUCAAAGAUAUGGUUGCA
rnacentral:lncRNA from 1 species